rnacentral:rRNA from 1 species
AUGGAUCCCUGCAAGUUCCGGCCGUCGAGCAGCUUCGACACCAAGACGACGACGACGAACGCCGGCCAGCCCGUGUGGAACGACAACGAGGCGCUUACCGUCGGCCCCCGCGGCCCCAUCCUGCUGGAGGACUACCACCUGCUGGAGAAGAUCGCCCACUUCGCGCGCGAGCGCAUCCCGGAGCGGGUGGUGCACGCCCGGGGCGCCUCCGCCAAGGGCUUCUUCGAGUGCACCCACGACGUCACCGGCCUCACCUGCGCCGACUUCCUCCGCGCGCCGGGGGCGCGCACGCCCGUCAUCGUCCGCUUCUCCACCGUCAUCCACGAGCGCGGCUCGCCCGAGACGAUCCGCGACCCGCGCGGGUUCGCCGUCAAGUUCUACACGCGCGAGGGCAACUGGGACCUGCUCGGCAACAACUUCCCCGUCUUCUUCAUCCGCGACGGCAUCAAGUUCCCCGACGUCAUCCACGCCUUCAAGCCCAACCCCAAGUCCCACGUGCAGGAGUACUGGCGCGUCUUCGACUUCCUCUCCCACCACCCCGAGAGCCUCCACACCUUCUUCUUCCUCUUCGACGACGUCGGCAUCCCCACCGACUACCGCCAUAUGGACGGCUUCGGCGUCAACACCUACACCUUCGUCUCCCGCGCCGGCAAGGCCCACUACGUCAAGUUCCACUGGCGCCCCACCUGCGGCGUCAGCUGCCUCAUGGACGACGAGGCCACCCUCGUCGGCGGCAAGAACCACAGCCACGCCACCCAGGACCUCUACGACUCCAUCGACGCCGGCAACUUCCCCGAGUGGAAGCUCUUCGUGCAGGUCAUCGACCCCGACGACGAGGACCGCUUCGACUUCGACCCGCUCGACGACACCAAGACUUGGCCCGAGGACCUCGUCCCCCUCCAGCCCGUGGGACGCCUCGUGCUCGACCGCAACGUCGACAACUUCUUCAACGAGAACGAGCAGCUCGCCUUCGGCCCCGGCCUCGUCGUGCCCGGGAUCUACUACUCCGACGACAAGAUGCUGCAGUGCAGGGUGUUCGCCUACGCCGACACGCAGCGCUACCGCCUGGGGCCAAACUACCUGAUGCUCCCCGUCAACGCGCCCAAGUGCGGCUUCAAGAACAACCACUACGACGGCGCCAUGAACUUCAUGCACCGGGACGAGGAGGUGGACUACUACCCGUCCCGCCACGCGCCGCUCCGGCACGCCGAGCCGGCCAGCUUCCCCGUGCCGACGCGGCCCGUCGUCGGGAAAAGGGAGAAGACGAGGAUCAAGAAGGAGAACGACUUCGUGCAGCCCGGGGAGAGGUACCGCAGCUGGGCGCCCGACCGGCAGGACAGGUUCGUGCGCCGCUUCGCCGACGCGCUCGCCCGCCCCAAGGUCAGCCACGAGCUCCGCGUCAUCUGGAUCGACUUCCUCUCCAAGUGUGACAAGUCGUGCGGCAUGAAGGUGGCCAACCGUCUCAACGUGAAGCCAAGCAUGUGA